rnacentral:lncRNA from 1 species
CAGGAAGGAGGCCUGAUGAUAACCUCAGAGUAUGCUCGGAGAUAACCAGCCAGGAGAACAUGUACAUUGGAUGAUGUGCGUGAAGACCCCAAUCCUGCUCUUAAAUGCUCUUGGUUUGGUUGAGGGCAAAGGAAAGAGGAAAGAGUCUAGUUUUCUUGAGUUAUAAUUUUCCUAACCCUCAAACUCUGGAAUUAUUUAGGGUUGGGGCUUAAAAGAAUCAAGCGUUGGAUCUUUGUAGUUCUUAGAGACUGCUAUCUUAAGCUGUCUGGGCCAUUCUUCCCCUGGUCAGACCUGAGGUGCUGACUGAGCUGCUAGGCCUCCCGACACUACCGGGUUUGCUGGUGAUUAAGAGCAUGUUUGUCUGAGUGCCUAAGUACCACGGCAAACUGCCCAGUUCAAAUGAAUCGAUGGACUAAAAAUUGUCUUCCCCGUGAUACUGCCAAGAAGCCUCCAGCCAACACUCCAGGCCACUGAGAAAAGAUCCAUUGAGCUCAGCUGGAGGCUCGGUUUCAGCUGACUCAGCAUCCUGGAAGCACUUCACCAGUCAUUUACCUCUCUGCGUUUCUCGUUGCAGCUCUGCACUACAUGGCUUCUCUUGAUGCAGUAGGCUUUCUACCAAGCCAGGAGGCCCUGUGGCUUGAAAUGAUGGCUAACAACAUCUCUGUGUGCUUCUGAAAGGCCCGCGAAGUAGACCUUGCCUCCCAGUCCAUUUUCUUUCUCUCUUAGUUUAAUUCACAUUUGGGUUUAGACCAAGUCAUAAAGGAUUUAGUUCAAGAAAAACAUUUUUCAAAAUGAUGAAUGGAAUUAAUCUCGUAAAGGCUGGGGAAAAUAAUAUUUGCGUUUGAAACUCAAAAGUUUGAGGAGUCUGUGAAAGUCAAUGAAAGUGGCUCUGGUCCAACUCGACUGAGAACUUAGAACAAGUUGCUGCAGUGACUGUGGUCCAUGACCCAGAGUUGUGGCCUUCAAGACAGGUCUUCCUCCACCAAGCCCAUACUGUUUCACCCAAACCAACAGACCACAGUAAUAAGAGGACAGGCAUCACUUAACUCACUGGCAAGAAAGCCCAGCAUACUCUGAUUCAGAAGGAUCGUGUUGGCCAACAAGUUAAGGCUCUGUUGUUGAGCCAUAAAGUCAACUAUAACUCGUCAUCCUGAAUCCUUUGUGACUUGUACUCAUUCCAGUGAGUUGCGUCCAUUUGUUCUGGUCUCAGCCUACUUCUCAAAACAAUGAUACAAAGGCACAGAGUGGGGAAAAGGUAAAUCAAGGCACUUUGCUAAAUUUGGGGUGAGUAUCUGUAAGGUCCCCUAUGUCAAGUCUCAAAUACUCAGAAGUAAUGUUGCUGCACUUGUGGAAAAACUUACUCUUUUGUUAUUGAAGAAAUUGAAGUUGUCCCUUUGAGUUCUUUGUUUAAUAAAAAUAAUUUAAAAUUUGUCUGGGAGGAAGCUUGAGGAAACUUUUAUCUUUGUUAAAAAAAGAGCAACAGGGCAAGAAAACUCUAAAAUCUUGGAAGUGAAGAUGUGCUCUUUUGUAAAUAGCCACAGGCAGCCACAUGGUG